rnacentral:rRNA from 1 species
UAUUACUUUUCAGUGAAUACAUAGCUGAUUAGAGGUAGACGCAGAGAACUGAAACAUCUUAGUACCUGCAGGAAGAGAAAGAAAAUUCGAUUCCCUGAGUAGCGGCGAGCGAAACGGGAAGAGCCCAAACCAACAAGCUUGCUUGUUGGGGUUGUAGGACUCCGAUAUGGUAGUCUGUUAGUAUAGUUGAAGGAUUUGGAAAAUUCCGCUAAAGAGGGUGAAAGCCCCGUAGACGAAAUGCUGACAACACCUAGGAGGAUCCUGAGUACGGCGGAACACGAGAAAUUCCGUCGGAAUCCGCGGGGACCAUCCCGCAAGGCUAAAUACUCCCUAGUGACCGAUAGUGAACCAGUACCGUGAGGGAAAGGUGAAAAGCACCCCGGAAGGGGAGUGAAAUAGAUCCUGAAACCGUGUGCCUACAACAAGUCAAAGCUCGUUAAUGAGUGAUGGCGUGCCUUUUGUAGAAUGAACCGGCGAGUUACGAUUGCAUGCGAGGUUAAGUCGAAGAGACGGAGCCGCAGCGAAAGCGAGUCUGAAUAGGGCGAAUGAGUAUGUAGUCGUAGACCCGAAACCAUGUGAUCUACCCAUGUCCAGGUUGAAGGUGCGGUAAAACGCACUGGAGGACCGAACCCACGUACGUUGAAAAGUGCGGGGAUGAGGUGUGGGUAGCGGAGAAAUUCCAAACGAACUUGGAGAUAGCUGGUUCUCUCCGAAAUAGCUUUAGGGCUAGCCUCGGAAUUGAGAAUGAUGGAGGUAGAGCACUGUUUGGACUAGGGGCCCAUCUCGGGUUACCGAAUUCAGAUAAACUCCGAAUGCCAUUCAUUUAUAUCCGGGAGUCAGACUGCGAGUGAUAAGAUCCGUAGUCGAAAGGGAAACAGCCCAGACCACCAGCUAAGGUCCCAAAAUAUAUGUUAAGUGGAAAAGGAUGUGGGGUUGCACAGACAACUAGGAUGUUGGCUUAGAAGCAGCCACCAUUUAAAGAGUGCGUAAUAGCUCACUAGUCGAGUGACCCUGCGCCGAAAAUGUACCGGGGCUAAACAUAUUACCGAAGCUGUGGACUACACCAUUAGGUGUAGUGGUAGGAGAGCGUUCUAAGGGCGUUGAAGGUCGAUCGUGAGGACGGCUGGAGCGCUUAGAAGUGAGAAUGCCGGUAUGAGUAGCGAAAGACAGGUGAGAAUCCUGUCCACCGUAUGACUAAGGUUUCCUGGGGAAGGCUCGUCCGCCCAGGGUUAGUCGGGACCUAAGCCGAGGCCGAUAGGCGUAGGCGAUGGACAACAGGUUGAUAUUCCUGUACCAGUUGUUUUUGUUUGAGCAAUGGAGGGACGCAGUAGGCUAAGGAAUGCAUGCGAUUGGAAGUGCAUGUCCAAGCAAUGAGUCUUGAG